rnacentral:rRNA from 1 species
CCCUUAGACGUUCUGGGCCGCACGCGCGCUACACUGACCGGUGCAACAAGCAUCCGUCCUUGGCCGACAGGCCCGGGCAAUCUUUGAACGCCGGUCGUGAUGGGGAUAGACUUUUGCAAUUUUUGGUCUUCAACGAGGAAUUCCUAGUAAACGCAAGUCAUCAACUUGCAUUGAUUACGUCCCUGCCCUUUGUACACACCGCCCGUCGCACCUACCGAUUGAAUGGUCCGGUGAAGCCUCCGGAUUGGCGCGCACCUCGGUGCCGCCGAGAAGUUGGCUAAACCUUACCAUUUAGAGGAAGGUGAAGUCGUAACA